rnacentral:tRNA from 1 species
GCCUGGGUGGUGAAAUUGGUAUACACGCGUGCCUUAGGAGCACGUGCCGCAAGGUGUGGAGGUUCGAGUCCUCUCCCAGGCACCA